CCAAACCAAAUCCGACCCGAACAUUUACAAUAUUUGAAUGGGAUUAAAAUUCAUAAACCGGAAAACCCAAAACCUGAUUGAACCCAAAUAUUGGGACUUCGAUUGUCCAUCCCUAAAUCAUACUAUUAAGAGCAUCUCCAUCCCCACUCCAUAAUUUACUGCAAAAUGAAGUAGAAAAUAGAAUAGUAAAAAAACAAAAAAGUGAUUACUCUAUAAAUAUAGAGAUUUUUUAUUUUUUGUUCAUACUCCAUUUUCCACUCCAUUUUUGGAGUGAGGAUAGAGAUGCUAAGGCCAACAUUAUCGGCGUCCCAGCAGGCCGUCCUUAGGCGAAAUGGGCCG
rnacentral:lncRNA from 1 species